AGAGAGAGAGAGAGAGAGAGAGAGAGAGAGGCAGAAACCCCAGAGUCUCUUCAACCCUCCUGGCCUGGGAAUGGAGAGUACUUGGUGUCUAGAUAACUAACCAAACUGCAGAAGUGCAAUCUUCCCUCAUUAGCAAGAAAAAAAGUGUAUUAGAAGAAAUGAUUGUACUUCAGUACAGUGUGGAUAUAGCCAAGCCUCGUUCCUGUACAGAAGCUUCAGGAACGUCAAAAGAAAUCAGCAGAGAAGGAGGCUAAGGAACAGCAGAAGAAAGAAAAAGUGGUGUCUGUGAUAAGAAAGUAAGGAGAGACAGACAGAAAAACCCAACCAAGCGAGCAAGGACAAAGGACAAGAGAAGAUUUUUUAAAAAGGAAGGAACCAUGGGAUAAAAUAAAGUACAGGCAGUCCCCGGG